rnacentral:rRNA from 1 species
GCGAUUUACUUCGGUAAAGAGCGGCGGACGGGUGAGUAACGCGUGGGUAACCUGCCCUGUACACACGGAUAACAUACCGAAAGGUAUGCUAAUACGAGAUAAUAUGCUUUUAUCGCAUGGUAGAAGUAUCAAAGCUUUUGCGGUACAGGAUGGACCCGCGUCUGAUCAGCUAGUUGGUAAGGUAACGGCUUACCAAGGCGACGAUCAGUAGCCGACCUGAGAGGGUGAUCGGCCACAUUGGAACUGAGACACGGUCCAAACUCCUACGGGAGGCAGCAGUGGGGAAUAUUGCACAAUGGGCGAAAGCCUGAUGCAGCAACGCCGCGUGAGCGAUGAAGGCCUUCGGGUCGUAAAGCUCUGUCCUCAAGGAAGAUAAUGACGGUACUUGAGGAGGAAGCCCCGGCUAACUACGUGCCAGCAGCCGCGGUAAUACGUAGGGGGCUAGCGUUAUCCGGAAUUACUGGGUGUAAAGGGUGCGUAGGUGGUUUCUUAAGUCAGAGGUGAAAGGCUACGGCUCAACCGUAGUAAGCCUUUGAAACUGGGAAACUUGAGUGCAGGAGAGGAGAGUGGAACUCCUAGUGUAGCGGUGAAAUGCGUAGAUAUUAGGAGGAACACCAGUUG